UACUUCAAGGGACGACACUAGCUACUUU
rnacentral:piRNA from 1 species